UCUCUCUCUCUCUCUCAAAAUAAAUAAACAUAAAACAAACUAAAAGAGAUGCUCAAUAAAUAUUGGUUGGGUAAAUUUUUGUAUGUAUUGUUUCCAAAAGUAAUAUGUUCAAAAAUUGCUUUCUUCUUGCUAUGGACUGAAUAGGUUUCCCACAAAACUCAUAUAUUGAAGCCCUAAUCCCCAGUAUCACUGUAUUUGGAAAUAGGAUUUUUAGGAUAUAAUUAAGGCUAAAUGAGGUUCAUAAGGGUAGGGUCCUAAUCUAAUAGGAUUGGAGACCUUAUAAAAUAGGAAGAGAAAUGUCUUACCCCUUUCUUCUUAGCUCAGAGGGCAUAUAAACCUCAGUUGCCUGGCGGGAAGCCUCAUGUGUUUCGAGUUCCUGUACAUACAAAUUAAUUUUUUUCUCUUGUUAAUCUAUUUUAUAUCAAUUUAAUUAUUAGACCAGCCAAAAAACCUAUAAAGAAGGAAAAAAUUUUCCUCUCCUACAAUUCUUAUAUGCUUACAAAGAACUGCUCUAGGUUCUCAGUUCUAAAACCAUAGAGCUGAUUCACAAACACUGGAAAUACUUGGAUGAUUGAUGGGGUUUAAUUACACCAUUAGAGCAAAAAGACAACUUGAAGCAAUAGUAGCUGAUGGCUGGUAGGCAACAGCUAGUCAGCGCAUGCAGCGGUCUGGGACAUGCUGAUUUAACAGGGUAGAAACCAGCAGGCACACUAUAUGCAGGGAGAUAGGCACCGCUCCAAAGAGCAAAAACACUCUGGAAAGAUGGCGUCAGAGUCUGUGCUGUAAGGAUGAAAAGUUGCUGGGCAUCCAAGAGGCCCUUGUUCCCACAUGGCAGAAAUUUCAAGCAGCAGGGUUAUUUUUAGAUUCAAAAAAGAAAAAAAGCCUGAAAGGCAUAAAUUGCAUACACAUUUAUUUUUAUUUGCUG